rnacentral:lncRNA from 1 species
AACACUGAUCACUUUCUGAUUUGGUCCUAUUAAAAAAUGUCACGUGUUAAUUAUUUUUUAAAGUACAAUCAUGCUGUGGAAAAGUAUGAUUGUGUAUUUAUAUGAAAUAUUCAAAAUUUUCUUCUAUUUUUCUGUAUUUUUCAAAUUUUAACAUUAUUUUCUAAACAAAUUAAUAUGGACCGUUGGAUGCAAUUUUUUUUUUGCAAUCCAACAGCCCAUGUUGUGCCACGUGGGCAAAACGGCUAGUAGGAUUUUUUUUAUUUUUUAUUAUUAUUUUUAAAUUAUCUUUGCAAAUGACAGCUUAAUAUGGACUAUGGGAUUAUAGGACAGUUAGAAAUUCAAUGGUCCACAUCUCGCCACGUGUACUAGUCAUUGGAUUAGAAAUCAAAAUUUUAUAUUACCGUUGAAAAUCUUUUAGAUGUAUACAGGCAAUGUCAUCCAUACAGAAUUUACGCUGAGUGCACUGCAAGUUGGUCGCAUCGGCCUUUUUUGUUUGCCAAAGUGCCACCCACAUCCUCGUAUUAUGCACUCGCCUCACGCAAAAAAUUUAAAACGUGGCUGACAUCACACAACACUUAGGUGUAGAGUUCGGUAGAAAUUGCCUGACUAGCCCAUCGAGCUAAUUUGGGUCCACCAUUUGCCUGACUUUUUGGGCUAAGAUGGAGAUGAUAUUUUGGAUUUUGAGACAAUAAUUGCCCAAUUGCCAAGGCAAUCGGGUAUGAUGGACUUGCUCUAAAUGAAAUUAUUAAGGAUGAUGUUAGGGAAACCAAACUUUUAAAUCAAAUUUGAAAACUAAAUGACGUGUCACCAAUAGAAAAUAAGUACGUUAAUCAACACUUAAGUAAUAAUCCAAUCAUAAACAUCCACAUCCAUAUUAUUUAGUUUAUAAAAUUUGAUUUAGAAAUUUAGUCUCCUUAGUAUUAUCCAUUUAUUAAUAACAAAUUAACUUGUCAAUUUGCAAGGGUAUAACAUGUUUUAAUACUCAUGGCCCAAUUCAAUAGCCCAAUACCCAAACCAAGGAAAUAUAUAUGGCACCCAUGACACCCGUGGUAUUCACUCUUCAAAUACCUUAGGUACCGUUUGAUACGUGGGAUGAGAUGGAAUACAGUGGGAUGGGACACACUCAUCCCACGUUUGGUGCACCAAUUUGCCUGGAACGUGUUGUCCCAUGGAACGGAUUUUAGUCAAUUUUUUGUGCCACCCUCCUCCCUGGAACGAUUUGUUUCAGCCCAUGGAACACAA